AUUGAACGCUGGCGGCAGGCCUAACACAUGCAAGUCGAGCGGAUGAGAGGAGCUUGCUUCUCGAUUCAGCGGCGGACGGGUGAGUAAUGCCUAGGAAUCUGCCUGGUAGUGGGGGACAACGUUUCGAAAGGAACGCUAAUACCGCAUACGUCCUACGGGAGAAAGCAGGGGACCUUCGGGCCUUGCGCUAUCAGAUGAGCCUAGGUCGGAUUAGCUAGUUGGUGGGGUAAUGGCACACCAAGGCGACGAUCCGUACCUGGUCUGAGAGGAUGAUCAGUCACAGUGGUACUGAGACACGGUCCAGACUACUACGGGAGGCAGCAGUGGGGAAUAUUGGACAAUGGGCGAAAGCCUGAUCCAGCCAGGAUACGUGUGUGAAGAAGGUCUUCGGAUUGUAAAGCACUUUAAGUUGGGAGGAAGGGUUGUAGUUUAAUACUCUGCAAUUUUGACGUUACCGACAGAAUAAGCACCGGCUAACUCUGUGCCAGCAGCCGCGGUAA
rnacentral:rRNA from 1 species